UACGUAGGGGGCUAGCGUUGUCCGGAUUUAUUGGGCGUAAAGAGCGUGUAGGCGGCCAGGUAGGUCUGCUGUGAAAACUCGAGGCUCAACCUCGAGAUGUCGGCGGAAACCAUCUGGCUAGAGUCCGGAAGAGGAAAGUGGAAUUCCUGGUGUAGCGGUGAAAUGCGUAGAUAUCAGGAGGAACACCUGUGGCGAAAGCGGCUCACUGGACCACAACUGACGCUGAUGCGCGAAAGCUAGGGGAGCAAACAGG
rnacentral:rRNA from 1 species